rnacentral:rRNA from 1 species
UGGGGAAUAUUGCACAAUGGGGGAAACCCUGAUGCAGCGACGCCGCGUGGAGGAAGAAGGUCUUCGGAUUGUAAACUCCUGUUGUCGGGGACGAUAAUGACGGUACCCGACAAGAAAGUGACGGCUAACUACGUGCCAGCAGCCGCGGUAAAACGUAGGUCACAAGCGUUGUCCGGAAUUACUGGGUGUAAAGGGAGCGCAGGCGGGAAGACAAGUUGGAAGUGAAAUCUACGAGCUCAACUCGUAAAUUGCUUUCAAAACUGUUUUUCUUGAGUAGUGCAGAGGUAGGCGGAAUUCCCGGUGUAGCGGUGGAAUGCGUAGAUAUCGGGAGGAACACCAGUGGCGAAGGCGGCCUACUGGGCACCAACUGACGCUGAGGCUCGAAAGUAUGGGUAGCAAACAGGAUUAGAUACCCCCGUAGU